rnacentral:rRNA from 1 species
AUUGAACGCUGGCGGCAGGCCUAACACAUGCAAGUCGAACGGUAACAGGAAGAAGCUUGCUUCUUUGCUGACGAGUGGCGGACGGGUGAGUAAUGUCUGUGAAACUGCCUGAUGGAGGGGGAUAACUACUGGAAACGGUAGCUACUACCACAUAACGUCUCAAGACCAAAAAGGGUGACCUUCGGUACUCUUGCCAUCGCAUGGGCCCAGAUGGGAUUAGCUUGUAUGUGGGGUAACGGCUCACCUAGCCGACGAUCCCUAGCUGGUCUGAUAGGAUGACACGCCACGCUGGACCGGAGACACGGUACAGACUCCAACGGGAGGCAGCAGUGGGGUAUAUUGCACAAUGGGCGCAAGCCAGGUGCAGCCAUGCCGCGUGUAUGAAGAAGGCAAUCGGGUUUUAAAGUACUUUCAGCGGGGAGGAAGGGAGUAAAGUUAAUACCUUUGCUAAUUGACGUUACCCUAAGAAGAAGCACCGGCUAACUCCGUG